rnacentral:rRNA from 1 species
AUGGUAGAUACAGUUAGUAAGACUUGCACUUCUAGUGAGGGUGACAAAAUCAAAUGGGGGCUGGGUCCUAAAACCUACUUCACCACUCGCUCGGUUUAUGCAUUUCUGGAGAGGCAAAUUGCGGGAUGUAACUAUAAUUGGAUUUGGAGAGCUAGUAUACCUUUGAAGAUCCAAAUCUUUAUGUGGCAAUUGUCACAAAAUGCAAUCUUAACCAGAGAUGUGAUGAAGCACAGGGGGUGGGAAAAAGAUCCUAAAUGCUCCUUUUGUGCUACAAAUGAAACAUCUCAACAUCUCUUUUUUACUUGCCCAGUGGCCAGGGUAACUUGGAGAGCGGUGGCGUGUAUGUUUGGGACUGAUUUAUGUCCAAAUAACAUAUCAAGCAUAUUCGUGGUGCUAUUCGUUCUUCCCAAAAGGGGAAGUGUUCUACACAAUGGGCAUUGCUGCCAUAUGCUGGGCGAUCUGGACGUGUCGCAACAGAGCUACUUUUGA